rnacentral:rRNA from 1 species
GACGAACUGUCCUACCGUUGUUCGGAAUCACUGGGCUUAAAGGGCGCGUAGGCGGGCUUGCAAGUCUGUGGUGAAAUCCUCCAGCCCAACUGGAGAACUGCCGUGGAUACUGCGAGUCUCGAGGGAGGUAGGGGCGUGCGGAACAGAUGGUGGAGCGGUGAAAUGCGUUGAUAUCAUCUGGAACUCCGGUGGCGAAGGCGGCACGCUGGACCUCAUCUGACGCUGAGGCGCGAAAGCUAGGGGAGCAAACGGG